rnacentral:rRNA from 1 species
AACGAACGCUGGCGGCAUGCCUAGCACAUGCAAGUCGAACGAGACCUUCGGGUCUAGUGGCGCACGGGUGCGUAACGCGUGGGAACCUGCCCUUAGGUUCGGAAUAACUCCCCGAAAGGGGUGCUAAUACCGGAUAAUGUCUUCGGACCAAAGAUUUAUCGCCUUUGGAUGGGCCCGCGUUGGAUUAGCUAGUUGGUAGGGUAAAAGCCUACCAAGGCGACGAUCCAUAGCUGGUCUGAGAGGAUGAUCAGCCACACUGGGACUGAGACACGGCCCAGACUCCUACGGGAAGCAGCAGUGGGGAAUAUUGGACAAUGGGCGAAAGCCUGAUCCAGCAAUGCCGCGUGAGUGAUGAAGGCCUUAGGGUUGUAAAGCUCUUUUAACCGGGAUGAUAAUGACAGUACCGGGAGAAUAAGCUCCGGCUAACUCCGUG